GACGAACGCUGGCGGCGUGCUUAACACAUGCAAGUCGAGCGGUAAGGCCCUUUCGGGGUACGACGAGCGGCGAACGGGUAGAGUAACACGUGGGUGGACCUGCCCUCCAGCUCUGGGAGUAAGCCUCGGGAAACCGGGUACGUAAUACUGGAUAUGACUCCAUGACGCAUGUUGUGGGGUGGAAAGCCUUGUGCGGCUGAGGAUGGGCCCGCGGCCUAUCAGCUUGUUGGUGGGGUGAGGCCUACCAAGGCGACGACGGGUAGCCGGCCUGAGAGGGCGACCGGCCACACUGGGACUGAGACA
rnacentral:rRNA from 1 species